UAGUAAAAACUUAUUAAUUUUUUUAAUUGCUUAUAUAAUUUGUAUUAUUUAAAUGUUUAAAUUAGUUUUUAGUAUUAAGUUUGUUCAUUAUUAUGUGGUUUAAUGAGCGUGCACGUUCUUCAAAGAAAUGUGUAUUGAAGUCGUGUGGAGAAAAACGUACUGGCAAUGAAUCAUUGAGCUUGUUUAGUUUUCCUAAAGAUCCUGUUCGAUGUGGAAUCUGGUUAACUAAUUGUCAACUCGAUGCCGAUAGUCAUUCUCUAAAAAACAUUUUAUUGUGCAGUAAACAUUUUGAGAAAAAAAUGUUUCUCAAUGAUCUAAGAAAUAGAUUACAACCACACGCUAUACCUACAUUUUUUCCAGAUAGAAAAGAUUCUCAAAAAUUGGCCGACUCAACAUCUUGUGUUGAAGAUAAACCAUUGGACAUUUCUUCCACUGGUAGUGUAAUAACAUGCACAUCUGAAGACUCGUGUGUCGAAGACAUUUUGCGUACCCAAAUUAAAAAUGAGAUGAAAGCUCGUCUUAAAGCCGAAAAAACUGUAAUGAAAUUAAGGAAACAACAAGCCAAAUAUGAGAGCGUUGAACAUUUUCUUGAUCUGUGUCAAAAACAUUUGUCUCCUGAUGUACUAACCAUUGUGAAGUCUCACAUGACAGAAAAGAAACCCUCAUGGAUACAGGCACUAGAAAUUCCAACAGAAGUCAAGUAAUGUUUGGCGAUACCUUUUUAACGACUCAGAUGGAAUUGGAAAUCACUAUUUGUGUAAUUCAAAGUCGUGAGAAACCAGCUAAGCAUCAGAAUUAAAAUGGAUGAUUAUUGCAGUGAAGUUGUUAUCAAAAUAGAGGAAGAAGAUGAGGAUACGAAAGAGCAAAUUACUGGAGCAUUAGUAGAAGAAACAAAACCGAAUAUUAUUAAAGAAUUAUACAAGAGUAUCGAAGAAUCGUGCAACAAUACCAUUAUCAAAGUCGAAGUGGAUCUAGUGAAUGGACAUUGUUUCGAGUCUGUGAUUGAAGUUGAAAAAAGUGUUCUUAUGGAUGUGCCAACAACAAACUAUAUCAUGGACGAGAUACAGCCGUUUGUCUGCGAUGUAUGCAAAAAAACAUUUUCUACAAAAAAAAAAGUUGCCCGACACAUUACACAUUCACAUAGUGCACACUUAUCAACCCAUAAAAAACGCGUGCACACUGGGGAAAAUCAUUAUAAAUGUAAUUUGUGCGUAUUGUCGUAUUCUCACAAAUCCAGCCUCACAAG